CUUGGAAUUUGAACAGCAUGUUUAAAGAAGACAGCUUCUGGAGAGUUUUACAAAUACUGACAUUUUAAAUAGCGAAGACUGUUUACCUGAAGACUCCAGGGCCUCUUAAACCAUAAAAUCUCCCCACUGAGCUCAAUGGACUAUAGGAACAACUGGAUGUUCUGUGACUUCUACCCACCUUGAAUGCAGCAGAAGAAAUCAAGUAGUUGAAGAUAGAAGCUUCAAGAAUAUAGGGAAUACAGAACAGAGAACAUAGCUACAAGAAUAUAGGGAAAUGCUCAGGAAGAACUCUUGCUGCUGUGAGGAGAUGGACAAGACUUCUGACCCCUACCCCUGCACUUGCGUAAAAGGGAAGGCAAAGGUCACAGGUCACACAGAAGGAAAAAGGUUUUAAGCUUUCAGUGGAAGGGCAGAUAUAGGCUGGAAUUUAGGUGGAGGGAGGGAAAAGAGAUGGAAAAGAAAAAGAAAAAGAAUAAUUCAAUCUGCUCACAGAUCUACAAAUGCUGAGCUAUAUGAAAGUCAUUUGCAAGGCUUUAAGGAUUAAAGUUCUUGCUUAAAUACUGUAUUGGCAUUUGUAGUAAAAAUAAAUAAAAUAGCUUUUCCGUUCCCAUAAACUGCUAUUGCACCUCUCUAGUCAGCCUAACUCCCAAGUUGAUCCACCUUACUUUCAGCUGCCAAAACUGCUGUAUAUUUUUCACUGCAUUCCCCAGGACAGACAUUCUUUCGACCUUCAGAUCUGCAGUCAAAUUCAUCUUUUAUCAUUCUUCCUCUAGGAUAAGUAAAUGCAUCUCCCUAAGACAUAUGACUCUCUGCUGCUCCCCAUUUUACCCUGUAAUUGUGGUGGCUUAAAAUAUGAACCAGCUGAUUGGAGGCUCAGUGAAGGAACUAUGGUUGCUGCUCACUCUCAUUUUGAACACCAGCUUGUAUCCAAAAUUUCAAGGCCACCAAGGCUUAAAUUUCUGGCCAUACAACAUACAAGAAAGAAAGUUCAGAAGAUCUGUUUUCUUUAUAAAAAACAGUAGUUGACCAUAGCCAGCACAACAUUAGCAAAUUUGACACAAAUUAUUUCAUGUGUCUGAAACAUGCCUGGUUCUGUAUUUUACAUGUAUUCAGAUAGCUAAAGAAAUACAGA
rnacentral:lncRNA from 1 species